UGCCCAAACCACAGGGGUAAAGAGCCCUGGA
rnacentral:piRNA from 1 species